rnacentral:rRNA from 1 species
GACGAACGCUGGCGGCGUGCUUAACACAUGCAAGUCGAACGGUAAGGCCCUGCUUUUGUGGGGUGCUCGAGUGGCGAACGGGUGAGUCACACGUGAGUAACCUGCCCUUGACUUUGGGAUAACUUCAGGAAACUGGGGCUAAUACCGGAUAGGAGCUCCUGCUGCAUGGUGGGGGUUGGAAAGUUUCUGCGGUUGGGGAUGGACUCGCGGCUUAUCAGCUUGUUGGUGGGGUAGUGGCUUACCAAGGCUUUGACGGGUAGCCGGCCUGAGAGGGUGACCGGCCACAUUGGGACUGAGAUACGGCCCAGACUCCUACGGGAGGCAGCAGUGGGGAAUAUUGCACAAUGGGCGGAAGCCUGAUGCAGCAACGCCGCGUGAGGGAUGACGGCCUUCGGGUUGUAAACCGCUUUCGCCUGUGACGAAGCGUGAGUGACGGUAAUGGGUAAAGAAGCACCGGCUAACUACGUG